rnacentral:rRNA from 1 species
UACAAGCAGUGGGAGCACCUUCGUGGUGUGACUGCGUACCUUUUGUAUAAUGGGUCAGCGACUUAUAUUUUGUAGCAAGGUUAACCGUAUAGGGGAGCCGUAGGGAAACCGAGUCUUAACUGGGCGAAUAGUUGCAAGGUAUAGACCCGAAACCCGGUGAUCUAGCCAUGGGCAGGUUGAAGGUUGGGUAACACUAACUGGAGGACCGAACCGACUAAUGUUGAAAAAUUAGCGGAUGACUUGUGGCUGGGGGUG